ACCCCUUUAUCCGAACAGGUAUAGGAGAUGGUCUUAAACACCAUUUGGCAUAAGCCAGUCUGGGUUCGAGUCCCAGAAGGGGUA
rnacentral:tRNA from 1 species